AAAGGUGAACACCACAGGUGAGACAGGUAAAUAAAGGUGAACACCAGAAGUGGGACAGGUAAAUAAAGGUGAACACCAAAGUUGAGCCAGGUAAAUAAAUGUGAACACCACAGGUGAGACAGGUAAAUAAAGUUGAACACCACAGGUGAGACAGGUAAAUAAAGGUGAACACCAGAAGUGAGACAGGUAAAUAAAGGUGAACACCACAGGUGAGACAGAUAAAGGAUGUAUUCUGAGGAAACAGAAGAACCGAAUUUUAACGGUCUGACACGCCACAGGAAGUGAUGAUCUCAAUCUUCAUUAUGCUUUUUAUAAAUACUGAAACAUGAUGACAUCACAGCAUAACAAGAGAAAAAACGUCUGGAGGCUCCACCCACCGUGUUUCCCUCAGCACACCACAGGUGAGACAGGUAAAGGUGAACACCAAAGUUGAGCCAGGUAAAUAAAUGUCAACACCACAGGUGAGACAGGUAAAUAAAGGUGAACACCACAGGUGAGAACGAUAAAGGUGAACACCACAGGUGAGACAGAUAAAGGUUGUAUUCUGAGGAAACAGAAGAACCGAAUUUUAAUCGGCUGACACGCCACAGGAAGUGAUGAUCUCAAUCUUCAUUAUGCUUUUUAUAAAUACUCAAACAUGAUGAUGACAUCACAGUAUAACAAGAGAAAAAACGUCUGGAGGCUCCACCCACCGUGUUUCCCUCAGCACACCACAGGUGAGCCAGGUAAAUAAAGUUGCACACCAGAAGUGAGACAGGCAAAUAAAGGUGAACACUACAGGUGAGACAGGUAAAUAAAGGUGAACACUACAGGUGAGACAGGUAAAGGUGAACACCAGAAGUGAGACAGGUAAAUAAAGGUGAACACCACAGGUGAGACAGGUAAAUAAAGGUGAACACCACAGGUGAGACAGGUAAAUAAAGGUGCACACCAGAAGUGAGACAGGCAAAUAAAGGUGAACACUACAGGUGAGACAGGUAAAGGUGAACACCACAGGUGAGACAGGUAAAUAAAGGUGAACACCACAGGUGAGACAGGUAAAUAAAGGUGAACACCACAGGUGAGACAG